GUUAAUUAUAAAAAUUUAUAUAAUUAAGAUAAUUAAUAAUAUUUAAUUGGGAGGAUUUAAUAAACUUUAAGUGUAAAUUAAAUUGUAAAUUAAUAUAUAAAAUUUUUUUGAAUGAUUAAUAAAUUGAAAUAGAAUUAAUUACCUUAGGGAUAACAGCGUAAUAUUUUUAUUAAGAUCUCAUUGAUAAAAAUGAUUGC
rnacentral:rRNA from 1 species